rnacentral:misc_RNA from 1 species
AUGAACUUUUAUCUGGGGCAAACGACAGCGAGGAAGAUGGUGAUGCUGAAAAUGGUGUAGAUGAAAAUGAUGAAGAUGAACCUGAUCCCAAGAGAAGAAAUACAGAAGUCAAGGUAACAGAUCCAGCUUCUUCACAUAGGACUGUCACAGAAUCUAGAAUCAUUGUGCAGACUACCAGUGAAGUUGAUCUUUUGGAUGAUGGCUAUAGAUGGCGCAAGUAUGGGCAGAAAGUUGUCAAAGGCAAUCCUUAUCCCAGCUACUAUAAAUGCACAACCCCAGGCUGCAAAGUCCGUAAACAUAUUGAGAGAGCUGCAACAGACCCAAGAGCAGUUAUAACAACUUAUGAAGGCAAACAUAAUCAUGAUGUUCCUGCUACUAAAGGGAGUAGCCACAGCACAGCCAAUAGUAAGUCAUCGGAGCUGAAACAAAAUAAUGUAGAGAAGCUUGCCUUAGAUAACAGGAGAGACCUUGGCAACAAUAAUCAACAACCUAUAGCACGACUUUGUUUAAAAGAAGAGCAGAUAACAUAAUUUCCCUCAUGAAAAAGCAGGAGAAUAUGGGCGCUGUAAGAUAUCUUUGCUGAAAUCUAUUUUUCAUGCUUUUCAAGGCCAUUGGUUUGAUCAAGGUCCAUGGCUCCAACUACCAUAUUCACAAGAAAAGAAGAUAAAGAGAAGUCAAUCGGGGGAUAACUUUCCUGGAUUGAGUUAGUUAGAAGACAUAUUGUCGUAUGUAAACAAGUUAGCAGGUAAUUUUUAUUGAAAUCCUGUUCUGCGCAACCUUACUUCCAGAUAAUGUACAAA